rnacentral:misc_RNA from 1 species
GAUGAAGAACGCAGCGAAAUGCGAUAAGUAAUGUGAAUUGCAGAAUUCCGUGAAUCAUCGAAUCUUUGAACGCACAUUGCGCCCCCUGGCAUUCCGGGGGGCAUGCCUGUCCGAGCGUCAUUUCUGCCCUCCAGCCCGGCUGGGUGUUGGGCGCUGUCCCCCCGGGGACACGCCCCAAAGGCAGUGGCGGCGCCGCGUCGGGUCCUCGAGCGUAUGGGGCUUUGUCACCCGCUCGGGACGGACUCGUCGGCGCUGGUCUUCCUCCAGGCGACCCUUCGGGGCUCGUCUUCCUUCGGUUGACCUCGGAUCAGGUAGGGUUACCCGAUGAACUUAAGCAUAUCAAUAAGCGGAGGA